AACGAACGCUGGCGGCAUGCCUAACACAUGCAAGUCGAACGACGGCUUCGGCCUUAGUGGCGCACGGGUGCGGAACGCGGGGGAAGCUGCCCGUUGCUUCGGAAUAACAGUUAGAAAUGGCGGCUAAUACCGGAUGAUGUCGCAAGACCAAAGAUUUAUCGGCAAAGGAUGAGCCCGCGUAGGAUUAGCUAGUUGGGGGUGUAAAGGCCUACCAAGGCGACGAUAGUUAGCUGGUCUGAGAGGAUGAUCCGCCACACUGGGACUGAGACACGGCCCAGACUAUUACGGGAGGCAGGAGUGGGGAAUCCUGCAAAAUGGGCGAAAUCAUGAACCAGUAAUGGUGCGUGAGUGAUGAAGGUCUUAGGGUUGUAAAGCUCUUUUACACGGGAUGAUAAUGACAGUACCGGGAGAAUAAGCACCGGCUAACUCCGUG
rnacentral:rRNA from 1 species